GACGAACGCUGGCGGCGUGCCUAAUACAUGCAAGUCGAACGCAGUUGCGCACGGGUGAGUAACGCGUAGGUAACUGCCUCAUAGCGGGGGAUAACUAUUGGAAACGCUAGCUAAUACCGCAUACUGUGAGAUGGACCUGCGUUGUAUUAGCUAGUUGGUGAGGUAAAGGCUCACCAAGGCGACUAUACAUAGCCGACCUGAGAGGGUGGUCGGCCACACUGGGACUGGGAAACCGCCCAGACUCCUACGGGAGGGAGCAGGAGGGAAAUGUCGGCAAAUGACGGAAGUCUGGCCGAGCAAAGCCGCGUUAGUGAAGAAGGGUUUCGGAUCGUAAAGCUCUGUUUUUAGAGGAGCGGUACCUAACCAGAAAGGGACGGCUAACUACGUGCCAGCAGCCGCGGUAAUUC
rnacentral:rRNA from 1 species